rnacentral:rRNA from 1 species
CCUACGGGUGGCAGCAGUGAGGAAUAUUGGUCAAUGGGCGCGAGCCUGAACCAGCCAAGUAGCGUGAAGGAUGAAUGCCCUACGGGUUGUAAACUUCUUUUAUAAAGGAAUAAAGUGAGGCACGUGUGCCUUUUUGUAUGUACUUUAUGAAUAAGCAUCGGCUAACUCCGUGCCAGCAGCCGCGGUAAUACGGAGGAUCCGAGCGUUAUCCGGAUUUAUUGGGUUUAAAGGGUGCGUAGGCGGGUUUUUAAGUCAGCGGUAAAAUUUCCUGGCUCAACCCGGGGCCUGCCGUUGAAAUUGGGGGUCUGGAGUGUGUGAGAGGUAUGCGGAAUGCGUGGUGUAGCGGUGAAAUGCAUAGAUAUCACGCAGAACUCCGAUUGCGAAGGCAGCAUACCGGCCCCCGACUGACGCUGAGGCACGAAAGCGUGGGGAUCGAACAGGAUUAGAUACCCGAGUAGUC